rnacentral:rRNA from 1 species
GAUGAACGCUGGCGGCGUGCCUAAUACAUGCAAGUCGAACGCUGAAGGAGGAGCUUGCUCUUCUGGAUGAGUUGCGAACGGGUGAGUAACGCGUAGGUAACCUGCCUGGUAGCGGGGGAUAACUAUUGGAAACGAUAGCUAAUACCGCAUGACAACAGUUAUUGCAUGAUAACUGUUUAAAAGGGGCAACUGCUCCACUACCAGAUGGACCUGCGUUGUAUUAGCUAGUUGGUGAGGUAACGGCUCACCAAGGCGACGAUACAUAGCCGACCUGAGAGGGUGAUCGGCCACACUGGGACGGAGACACGGCCCAGAGGCCUACGGGAGGCAGCAGUAGGGAAUCGUCGGCAAUGGACGGAAGUCUGACCGAGCAACGCCGCGGGAGUGAAGAAGGUUUUCGGAUCGUAAAGCUCGGUUGUAAGAGAAGAACGAGUGUGAGAGUGGAAAGUUCACACUGUGACGGUAUCUUACCAGAAAGGGACGGCUAACUACGUG